rnacentral:misc_RNA from 1 species
GGGAAAGAAGUUAGCAGAGGUUUCUUGGCAGUUUUAAAGAGUUUUAAAGUAGUGGAUGGGUGGUAGAGCGUGAAAAUGGCUUCCAAACUCUUCCAAAGGUACCUACAGGGGAAAUAUAAAUAUUAGACAAGCAAUAACAUUUACAAACCCAACAACUCAAUACAACAACACAAAUUAGACUCAAGCAGUUUAUUUAUCUUUUACUUUAUCUAUCUUUAAUUUUUCAAUUGUCGCAUUUAAUUUCCAAUGUCUUGUAUUUAUUUUUCAAGUCUUGCAUUUACUGUUCAAGCAAUCAAAUCAAUCAAUUUUCAUUUAAUUACCUAUUAGAUUGACAAAG